rnacentral:rRNA from 1 species
UACGAAGGGGGGCUAGCGUUGCUCGGAAUCACUGGGCGUAAAGGGUGCGUAGGCGGGUCUUUAAGUCAGGGGUGAAAUCCUGGAGCUCAACUCCAGAACUGCCUUUGAUACUGAGGAUCUUGAGUUCGGGAGAGGUGAGUGGAACUGCGAGUGUAGAGGUGAAAUUUCGUAGAUAUUCGCAAGAACACCAGUGGCGAAGGCGGCUCACUGGCCCGAUACUGACGCUGAGGCACGAAAGCGUGGGGAGCAAACAGG